CCUACGUGAGGCAGCAGUGGGGCAUAUUGCACAAUGGGGGAAACCCUGAUGCAGCGACGCCGCGUGAGUGAAGAAGUAUUUCGGUACGUAAAGCUCUAUCAGCAGUGAAGAAAAUGACGGUACCUGACUAAGAAGCCCCGGCUAACUACGUGCCAGCGGCCGCGGUAAUACGUAGGGGGCAAGCGUUAUCCGGAUUUACUGGGUGUAAAGGGAGCGUAGACGGCAGCGCACGUCUGGAGUGAACUCCCAUGGCUGAACCAUGGAACUGCUUUGGACACUGUUCAGCUAGAGUGCAGGAGAGGUAAGCGGAAUGCCUAGGGUAGCGGUGAAAUGCGUAGAUAGUAGGAGGAACACCAGUGGCGAAGGCGGCUUACUGGACUGUAACUGACGUUGAGGCUCGAAAGCGUGGGGAGCAAACAGGAUUAGAUACCCCUGUAGUC
rnacentral:rRNA from 1 species